GUUCACUAAAAUCUUAAUGAGUUUUAAUUUUUUUUUUUUAAAUAAUAAGACGAGAGAAAAGAAGGAUGUUUGGAUGAAUAAAAUGUAGAUAAAAACAUACAUAACUUACUUGAAUUAUGAAAGUUUGAUUUUACUAUCUACAUAAUCUUUCAAUUUGUAUAAUUUAAGUUAGUCAACAAUACUUCAACUUCAAAAUUUAAGCUAAUUACCUGUUUUAAUGAAUUUAUAAUUAUAAGAAUUGCAUAAAAUAUUUUAAACUUGGAAAGAUAAACGAUACAAUCAAAUUUUAAAUUUCAAGAGACGUUAACUCACUCAAAUCAAAUAAAUUAAAAAGUUAGAUAGUAAAAUCAAAAUUUUGAAAGAUUGGAUUAUAUAUUUAAAAUGACACAUAAUUUAAGGAUAAAAUUUUGGCGGAGAGAUUCCAAUGA
rnacentral:lncRNA from 1 species